rnacentral:rRNA from 1 species
AUUGAACGCUGGCGGCAUGCUUUACACAUGCAAGUCGAACGGUAACAGCACUUCGGUGGCUGACGAGUGGCGAACGGGUGAGUAAUACAUCGGAACGUGCCUAGUAGUGGGGGAUAACUACUCGAAAGAGUAGCUAAUACCGCAUGAGAUCUAAGGAUGAAAGCAGGGGACCUUCGGGCCUUGCGCGACUAGAGCGGCUGAUGGCAGAUUAGGUAGUUGGUGGGAUAAAAGCUUACCAAGCCGACGAUCUGUAGCUGGUCUGAGAGGACGACCAGCCACACUGGGACUGAGACACGGCCCAGACUCCUACGGGAGGCAGCAGUGGGGAAUUUUGGACAAUGGGCGCAAGCCUGAUCCAGCAAUGCCGCGUGCAGGAUGAAGGCCUUCGGGUUGUAAACUGCUUUUGUACGGAACGAAAAGCCCUCUUCUAAUACAGGAGGGUCAUGACGGUACCGUAAGAAUAAGCACCGGCUAACUACGUG